UUCCCUUGCUCCCUCCCACCUAUAUAUGGGGUCUCUCUGCCGAUGGAUGCCGUAGGGUGUAAGAGGAUGACUUAAUUUCAUUCCAAACCCUUGAGUAAUCAAUCAGUUUCAUCCCUUUACAGUUGAUUUGUCGAUUUAUAGAAGCAAGGUUCGUAGAUUGCCUUCAAUCUGCUGUUCGUCAAACCUAGGUCACUGAUUUCAAAAUUGGAUGGUUUCGAGGUUAAGGAGUCGGUUUUUAUAGUGGUGAGCCGGUGACGUGGUGGCGUUGAAGAAGCAAAGGCUGUGGAGACGGUGGUGCUUGGAUCGCUGUUUGGGCUCUGACUGAUGACAAUCCACACAAUUUCAUGAUUUUUGCAAAGAAACUGAUGGUGCCAAUUGCUCUACUCUUAGUCGUGUGGAUGAACUGGAAUCAUCCUGUUAUUCUUGGAGUUAAAGUGAUACUUACUCUUCUCAGUACAGUAUAAAACCCAACCCCUUCUCAGUUUAUGUAUUCAUUAAACAGGGACAUUGGAAGACAUGAAGAGUGGUGGAUCAAAAUGAAAAGAUAGUAGUCAAAGCAAGGAUGAGGAUAUACUGCGAAGUAAAGGUGAAUAAUCUAUUUGAUAUUAUUUACAUUGGAUUAAGAUAGGUUACUAUUUUUGAAUUUUAAUAUGUAAUCCAACAUGAGAAAUAUUGUAUAUAUCCCUUAGAGAUGCAGUCAUAUUUCAAGUUGUACUAUGAAUUCAACAACUUCCAAAUUAGUUUGUAUAAGUUUUAAUGUACCACCAAACUUCUAGCGACUAAUUCAUUUAUC
rnacentral:lncRNA from 1 species